rnacentral:rRNA from 1 species
CGACUCCUACGGGAGGCAGCAGUGAGGAAUAUUGGUCAAUGGUCGGGAGACUGAACCAGCCAAGCCGCGUGAGGGAGGAAGGUACAGAGUAUCGUAAACCUCUUUUGUCAGGGAACAAAGACUGGGACGCGUCCCCGGAUGAGUGUACCUGAAGAAAAAGCAUCGGCUAACUCCGUGCCAGCAGCCGCGGUAAUACGUAGGUGGCAAGCGUUGUCCGGAUUUAUUGGGCGUAAAGCGAGUGCAGGCGGGUCAAUAAGUCUGAUGUGAAAGCCUUCGGCUCAACC